AAGCUCAACACCUCAAAGCAACCACAGAGGGAACACACACACACACUCUCUCUCUCUCUGACACACAUACACCCACAAACAGAGAUCAAAUGAUGUGGAGGGAAUGGAAGGAGCAGAACAAUGGGAUCAUCGGUGGUGGCGGAAGGGUGCGCCAUCCUCCUCCAAGGACAGAUCAGCUCCUGCUGACGACUCCGGCUUCUAUGGUGCUGGAUGCGCCGCCGGUUGUGGCGCCGCUUGUGGCGCUUGAUGAUGCUGUGGGUGGUUUCUAAUUCUCACUAACUUCUCAUGAAUUUGAGAUGUGGCGAGAAUUUACACCAUUCUGUUUGUACAUCAAGGAAAACCCGAGAGUUAAUCUAGAUCCACUUUACUAAUUGUUAAAGUGAUUAGCUGGUAUUUGCAAUAUGGCUAUCGUGGCCAAAGAAAGAGGCAGUUUUGCAUAUGACUAAGUUUAACUAGUUGCAUCAAUUUUUCUUCA